GAUCCUCGCUGUAGCGAAAGCUCCCCUUUCAGCUAGCGAGAGAGGCAGGAGGGGUCUUUAAAAUGAAAUCCGAGUGCGUGAAGUCUGAGGCUGCCAAACAUUUACAAUGGCAAACUGACUCCUUACGAUCACGUAUCUUUGCUGCUGUGCAAGGCAAGUGGCAUCAAUGCUUUCAUGCAGCCGAGCGGGGAGGAAGGUAUGCAAAGCUGCUCUUUGGGUUAGAGCCUAUUCAGUCCUGUCACCAGCUUCUCAAAUGCAGACCACCUCAGGUCUGACCUGGGAAGUCAGAAGCAUCCUUUCUAGGAUCCUAGUACAUGGAGGACAGAGAAGACAACGUGUUGCUGUAUCUUCCGCAGGCUCCUUCCAGCACAACAUGGAUUAAUACUGCCCCUUGCUUAUCCCACUAUAUACCCCCUUGGUCCAUGUCAAUGAACUUAAUUGGAGCAAGGCAAAUUGAUACCAGUUGAGGGUCUGGCACUGUGUACCCUUGGAGAUGCUCCUGAUUUAUAGAGAUUGAGGCAGAGAAUCCAACCCCAGGAGGAUUUAAAAGCAAAAAUGAUCAUUAUAAUUCUCUCUCUCAUUAAUAACAACAUGGCACUUUUCUCCCAGCAUGACACAACUUCAGUUUCUUAUUGCCCAUCACACAGUUUCCUCACUGGCAGGAGCAUGCAUGUUCCAAGGUGCUACAUUUCUCUCCUGGUUUGGAGAGAAGGGAAAAAAUAUCAAACAAACCCAUAAAUCAUAAAGCUAGCAAAUGAAAAUAAAUACACUUAACAAUA